ACAGCAGUCGCCACGGUAACACGGAGGGUGCAAGCGUUAAUCGGAUUUACUGGGCGUAAAGCGUGCGUAGGCGGCUUUUUAAGUCGGAUGUGAAAUCCCUGAGCUUAACUUAGGAAUUGCAUUAGAUACUGGGAAGCUAGAGUAUGGGAGAGGAUGGUAGAAUUCCAGGUGUAGCGGUGAAAUGCGUAGAGAUCUGGAGGAAUACCGAUGGCGAAGGCAGCCAUCUGGCCUAAUACUGACGCUGAGGUACGAAAGCAUGGGGAGCAAACAGGAUUAGAGACCCCAGUAGUCCCUGUCUCUUAUAC
rnacentral:rRNA from 1 species